rfam:Solanum tuberosum cultivar DM 1-3 516 R44 scf00411_2, whole genome shotgun sequence.
GUCGAUAUGUCCGAUUGGUUAAGGAAGUAGACUUGAAAUCUGUUGGGCUUCGCCCGCGCAGGUUUGAACCUUGAUGUCGACG